rnacentral:lncRNA from 1 species
CUCAACUAUAGAGUUACAUGGCAGCUUACAGAAUUGAUGAGAGGGCCGGGGAAACAAGCUUGUUAGCCAUUCAGUCAUAGGAUAAUAUAAGAAUCCCAGGCUGGUACAGUGCCAUAAAUUUGGGAUGGGGCCCAGUCCACUCCCCACAGUUGGCUCCGUCAUGACCACUGCACAUUCCGACAUGCUGCUGCUGAAGACAUGAUCCCCAGCAACUAGGCUGUCAGAGGACCCUCCCAGCUGUUCACCCACUGACGACCACCCUGAGAGAGAAUGCACCAUGUCCAUCUACUGUUGGCUUUCUGGAAGAGCUCCCCCAGCUCCCACCUACCCAGGCACAGGUGGGAACGAGGUCUGUGUUUCUGACAGAACACAAUCUCUUAAAUUCAUUCCUUUCCUGUUCUGGAGAAUAUUC